GGGCGAUUAACUCAGUGGUAGAGUGCCACCUUCACACGGUGGAAGUCAGUGGUUCGAACCCACUAUCGCCCA
rfam:Candidatus Accumulibacter sp. BA-91 contig000150, whole genome shotgun sequence.